rnacentral:rRNA from 1 species
GACGUAGGGUGCGAGCGUUGUCCGGAUUUAUUGGGCGUAAAGAGCUCGUAGGCGGCUCGUCGCGUCGUCCGUGAAAACCCGCGGCUUAACCGCGGGCUUGCGGUUGAUACGGGCGGGCUAGAGUUCGGUAGGGGAGACUGGAAUUCCAGGUGUAGCGGUGAAAUUCGUAGAUAUCGGGAGGAACACCGGUGGCGAAGGCGGCUCUCUGGGACGUGACUGACGCUGAGACGCGAAAGCGUGGGGAGCGAACAGG